GCGGAGGUCUCGGGCCGAGGGCGGCGCUCCCGCGGUUGGGGAGAAUGGGGGUCUAGAACUCUUGAGAUCCGAGGGGGCCUGUGAGUCGCUGGAGCGGAGGUGGAAGCGGCUUUAGUAUUGGAGGAAAUCCCCUAGGGCGAUGUCUAACCAGAUGUUGGAGAUACAAAAAAGAGAAGACAUUGUUCCUAUGCUCAAGAAGUUGAUAAUCUGGAUGAGAUUAUGAGAUUCCAUGCUGGUUUCCGUUGUGGGGAUGGCCCUGUACACAGGCUAUGUCUUCAUGCCUCAGCACAUCAUGGCGAUACUGCACUACUUCGAGAUUGUGCAGUGACCAAGAUGUGACCAGAACUGAGCGGCUCCUUGGGGAAGAACCACCCUCUGCAGUUGGAAUGAAACCUCAUCAGCUGUCAUAAGAAACUCUACUAGAUGUCAACAUAAACCAACCCUAUGAAUAUAAAGACUAAAAUUCAUGAGUAGAACAGGAACAUAAUCCUGACUCAUGUGUUGUGUUCUUUAUUUUUAAUUUUAAAAGAGGCUCUUGUAUAGUAGUUUUUGUCUAUUUUAACAUUGUAGUCAUUUGUACUUUGAUAUCAGUAUUUUCUUAACCUUUGUGACUGUUUCAAUAUUACCCUGUGAAAGCUUUUCUUAAUGUAACUUUGAGUACAUUUUAAUUGCCUUCUAUUUCUAAAACCCAAAGUCAUUAGUUGGGCUAGUUCUUGCUAUUGUAUGGCACAUACAUCUGCCUGGAUCUAUUUCUACUCUUGACCAAAGUUUUGUAAGAAACAAUACAGGAUUUGGGGCAGGGGGGCUGGGGAGGGAGGAUAUUUUAUUGAGAACUAUUUACAAAAGACUUACCUGUAAGUUUGAACUCAGGAGUACAGUUUUAGCUCUCUAGGCUCUACUCUUAACAGCUUUUGCUUUAAAACUAUUUAAGUAUUUCUUAACAAUGAAAAAGAAAGAUCUUGCUAAAGUUCAAAUAAGGAACAUUUCACCUUUUAAAUAUUUAAUUCUUAUGUGGACUCAUUUCCAGAAAACUUUGGUGAUGGUUCUUAUGACAAAAGGUGGUUAAAUAGCAUUAUUAUGUAAUGCUUGUAUACCAUAGAGUUUUUAGAAGAAAGUAAAUCAGUUUCCUCUGAGGCUUAUUAAGUAACAAUGUACUUCCUUAAAUUUAAUUUUCAUGAUUGUAAUGGGUGCUGCACAUGCAUUUGCACAUUGCAAUAAGAUGAGAUGAAUUGUUAAAAACUAUAGCAAAAAGAAAUGUAAACUUGGUUAAAAUCCUUUCACUCUUUGUAUUUUUUUUUAAAGAUUUUUAUUCCUUAAAUGUAAAAUGACUACCUAAUUUUUUGAUGUAAACUCAUUAAAUUCAAAGAAAAAUCA